rnacentral:misc_RNA from 1 species
GAUGAAGAACGUAGCAAAAUGCGAUACUUGGUGUGAAUUGCAGAAUCCCGUGAACCAUCGAGUUUUUGAACGCAAGUUGCGCCCGAAGCCUUUUGGCCGAGGGCACGUCUGCCUGGGCGUCACGCAUCGCGUCGCCCCCCACAAUUCUCCGUAAAAGGAACAUGUGUUUUGGGGGCGGAUAUUGGUCUCCCGUGCUCAUGGCGUGGUUGGCCGAAAUAGGAGUCCUUUCGAUGGACGCACGAACUAGUGGUGGUCGUAAAAACCCUCGUCUUUUGUUUCGUGCUGUUGCUCGCAAGGUAAACUCUUUAAAAACCCCAAUGUGUCGUCUCUUGACGACGCUUCGACCGCGACCCCAGGUCAGGCGGGACUAUCCGCUGAGUUUAAGCAUAUCAAUAAGCGGAGGA